rnacentral:rRNA from 1 species
AGAAUCAACGCUGGCGGCGUGCCUAACACAUGCAAGUCGAGCGCGAAAGGGGAGCAAUCCCCGAGUAGAGCGGCGAACGGGUGAGUAACGCGUGGGUAAUCUACCUCCGAGUGGGGAAUAACAGCGGGAAACUGCUGCUAAUACCGCAUGACAUCGUCGAGCCUUCGGGCCUGACGAUCAAAGCCGGGGACCGCAAGGCCUGGCGCUUGGAGAGGAGCCCGCGUCCGAUUAGCUAGUUGGCGGGGUAAUGGCCCACCAAGGCUCCGAUC